UACGUAGGGUGCGAGCGUUGUCCGGAAUUAUUGGGCGUAAAGAGCUCGUAGGCGGUGUGUUACGUCGGCCGUGAAAACCUGCAGCUUAACUGUGGGCGUGCGGUCGAUACGGGCAUCACUGGAGUUCGGCAGGGGAGACUGGAAUUCCUGGUGUAGCCGUGAAAUGCGCAGAUAUCAGGAGGAACACCGGUGGCGAAGGCGGGUCUCUGGGCCGAUACUGACGCUGAGGAGCGAAAGCGUGGGGAGCAAACAGG
rnacentral:rRNA from 1 species